UGUUGUAUUUAGUGUUCAGUUUAAUAAAUAACAUGAACACGUACCACGCUGCGCUUUGGUCCUCACCUCCUUCCACCAACAGCCGUUACACAGGGGAUGUUUUAAGAUUUUUGAAACAAAGUAAGAGUUAAGAAUCCAGCAUCGAACCAACCCAGCUUGAAUACAAACCAUGUUCCCUGCAUCUCUGCUGCUGCUGCUUGUAGCUGCAUCACGUGUGCACUGUGGUCUUGAGCUCACCCAACCAAGCUCAUUGGAUGUAAAGCCUGGAGAGUCUUUGAGCAUCACCUGUAAGGUCUCUGGUUAUUCUCUGACUGAUAGCAGCAACGUCCAUGGAAUAGGCUGGAUCCGUCAGCCUGUAGGAAAAGCACUUGAAUGGAUUUGGACCAUCUAUUAUGAUGGAAGCUCAUACUCUCAAAGUUCCCUAAAAGACAGGUUCAGUGUCACAAGAGACACUUCCAGCAACACAGUGUUUUUAAAAGGACAGAAUCUGCAGACUGAAGACACAGCUGUGUAUUAUUGUGCUCGGUGGCCACAGUGAUACAAACCACCAACAGACCAGUACAAAAACCCUGUAUGUGAUGAAUCAAGUACAAGCACAAACAGUAUGGCACUUAUUAGUAUAAGUAGAGUCAAAAUAAAUAACCAGUGGUGUAAAAUACUUAAGUAAAAAUACUAAACUACUCUCUUGGGGUAUUUGUACUUUACUAUUUAUACUUUUUACAUCUUAUUUUACAUUCCUAAAUAAAUGUCUGUACUUUUUAUUCCAUACAUUUUCCCUGACACCCAAAAGUACACGUUACAUUUUGAAUGCCUAGCAUGACAGGAAAGUGGACCAAGUCAUGUACUUAACAAGAGAACAUCCCUGGUCAUCCCUACCAAAUGCUUUUUUUGGGUGACUUUUACUUGAGUCAUUUUCUAUUAAUGUAUCUUUACUUUUACUCAAGUAUGACAAUUGGGUACUUUGUUCCACCACUGUAAAUAACUAGUAUAAAAAUGAAUAAAUUGAUUGACUGUUAUAAGCUGAACCAACCUGCAUUAUGAACUGUUAAAUUAAAUACAAAGUUGAGUGAAAUGUUGAUUCUCUCUUUGUUUACAGCAUGUUAAAAAUGUUGAAAAUCCCUGGACCUGUUGAAAAUCCCUGGACUCAAACACCUGUUGAACACCUGUUGAAAAUCUCUGGACUCAAAACCUCUGUGAUCAUUCUGUAUCAAAUAAAAACAGUCUAAUAGUGUUCACCUGUCAAGCACAUUGUCAUCAGUAGAGCCACAAUAGUAAAUGUCAUGAUUCAUUAUUAGUAGUUAUGAUGUGUCUCUGUUCCUCAAUCUAGUCAGUGCUUCUCCUCCACUCUGCAGUGAGAUAAGUAGUGAUGGAAUAGCUCAGAGUUAUGCAUUGACUCCUCCUUACUGGGCAGUUGGGUACAGGAACACAUGAUAUACAAUAAUAUAAUAUAGAGAACUCAGAGAUGGGGAACAGCAUCAUAUGCAUUGGGAGGUGUUCCCCAA